GUUGAGAGAGAGGUUGUUGUCCUGGCACCAUGUAGCCAGGUUCUUUACCUCCUCUCUGUAAUAAUAAAAAUUAUAAUAAUGCACUUUAUACAGCGCUUUUCACAAAGACGCUUUACAAAAUUAACAUGAUAACAGAUCAAAGGAGAGUGUUGAGUCCAGAAUGAUCCCAAGGUUAUGUGCGUGGGAGGAUGGAGAAACAAUGGUGUCCCAAGGUUAUGUGCGUGGGAGGAUGGAGAAACAAUGGUGUCCCAAGGUUAUGUGCGUGGGAGUAUGGAGAAACAAUGGUGUCCCAAGGUUAUGUGCGUGGGAGGAUGGAGAAACAAUGGUGUCCCAAGGUUAUGUGCGUGGGAGGAUGGAGAAACAAUGGUGUCCCAAGGUUAUGUGCGUGGGAGGAUGGAGAAACAAUGGUGUCAUCGACGCUGCAAGCAGUCUCGUUGUCGGAGAUGAGACCCAGGAUAGUAGUGUCAUCAGUGAAUUUGAGGAUGAUGUUGGAGCUGUGUGUGGCCACACAAUCAUGUGUGAACAGGGUGUACUGGAGGGGACUGAGUACACAGCCCUGGGGGGCUCCAGUGCUAUGGGUCAGUGUAAAGGAGGUGAGCUUGCCCAUUCUCACCACCUGGGGUCUGCCCAUCAGUUUAAGUCCCAGGGUCCUGAGCUUAGGAACAAGCUUAGCGGGCACAAUAGUGUU
ensembl:lncRNA